GGUUUCGUGGCCCAAUGGCAAGGCGUCUGACUACGACGAGAAUUCGUUACGAGAUAUUUCGUUGACGAAUGUUUCACGAUAAUCAGGAGAUUCUGGGUUCGACCCCCAGCGAGAUCA